rnacentral:rRNA from 1 species
UGGCGGCGAUAGCGCGGUGGUCCCACCUGACCCCAUGCCGAACUCAGAAGUGAAACGCCGUAGCGCCGAUGGUAGUGUGGGGUCUCCCCAUGCGAGAGUAGGGAACUGCC